GAGUUAUGCCUGAGUGCAGUAUUUCUUGCAUUUGACACCACUUCUGUAUCAUUUAUCUGCAGCGAAGCAAACGUGAAACACUUGAUUCAAAAUAUUUCAGAAAAAUCAACCAAGAUGGUAGAUCAAAAGUUCGCCUGUGUCACAUUAAUUUUAUUGGUUGUCGGUAGCUGUGUGAAUUCGCUGCCGAACGCGAGUGAGAAGAC